rnacentral:rRNA from 1 species
UACGUAGGCAGCAAGCGUUGUUCGGAGUUACUGGGCGUAAAGGGUGUGUAGGCGGUUCUCUAAGUCUGGUGUGAAAUCUCCCGGCUCAACUGGGGGGGUGCGCCGAAAACUGGAGGACUAGAGUGCGGGAUGGGAGAGUGGAAUUCCUGGUGUAGCGGUGAAAUGCGUAGAUAUCAGGAGGAACACCUGUGGUGUAGACGGCUCUCUGGACCGCAACUGACGCUGAGACACGAAAGCGUGGGUAGCAAACAGG